rnacentral:rRNA from 1 species
UGCCUCUCGAAAUAACAUGAGAGGUCCCUCCUGCCCAGUGAAAAAAUUUUCAACGGCCGCGGUAUCCUAACCGUGCAAAGGUAGCAUAAUCACUUGCCUAUUAAUUGUAGGCUAGAAUGAACGGAUAAACGAAAUAAGCCCUGUCUCAAUUAAAUUAGAUAAAAACUAUACUCUAAAUGAAGAUAUUUAGAUAAAAACGAAGGACAAGAAGACCCUAUAGAGCUUUAUAUUUAUUUUCAGAGAAAAAACUCUAAAACAAAUUCGGUUGGGGCGACCAAGGAUAUAAAAAUCAUCCUAUAUUUCAAGAUUCAUAAAUCUCUAUAAAGACCCUUAUUAAAGAUCUUAAGAACAAGCUACCUUAGGGAUAACAGGCUAAUCUCAUUAAAGAGUUCUUAUCUACAAUGUGGGUUGGCACCUCGAUGUUGGCUUAGGGUAUCAGUAUGGCGCAAAAGUCAUAAAACGAUGGUUUGUUCAACCAAUAAUUCCCU